AGUGAACGCUGGCGGUAGGCCUAACACAUGCAAGUCGAACGGCGGCACAGUAAGAGCUUGCUCUUACGGGUGGCGAGUGGCGGACGGGUGAGGAAUACAUCGGAAUCUACUUUUUCGUGGGGGAUAACGUAGGGAAACUUACGCUAAUACCGCAUACGACCUACGGGUGAAAGCAGGGGAUCUUCGGACCUUGCGCGAUUGAAUGAGCCGAUGUCGGAUUAGCUAGUUGGCGGGGUAAAGGCCCACCAAGGCGACGAUCCGUAGCUGGUCUGAGAGGAUGAUCAGCCACACUGGAACUGAGACACGGUCCAGACUCCUACGGGAGGCAGCAGUGGGGAAUAUUGGACAAUGGGCGCAAGCCUGAUCCAGCCAUACCGCGUGGGUGAAGAAGGCCUUCGGGUUGUAAAGCCCUUUUGUUGGGAAAGAAAAGCAGCAGGUUAAUACCCCGCUGUUCCGACGGUACCCAAAGAAUAAGCACCGGCUAACUUCGUG
rnacentral:rRNA from 1 species